rnacentral:lncRNA from 1 species
AUGGCUAAUUUCUCUUGUAUGACUACAGGUGGCAGUGUAGAAGCCAGGAACAAAAAUUGGCAGAAAUUAUAUUCUGUGUACGAGAAAAUGAAGAGUGUACUCAUGACUAAGCACAGGAACCUGGAAAACCACAGGAUUCCUGGGAAGCCGUGGAGGAUGGGACAAACUCAGAGCUGGAGCUUGUGGAUUUUUUAGAACUCAUGAGUGGGAAAUUAUCCUGGUAAGAAGUGUUGAAGUGCAGUUAUCACUGUGUUUGUUUAUAUAUUUAUAGUCUUGCAUUUGGCUGUUCUUACUCUAGUCUAAGAAGGCAUUUUGUCUAAACCUUUAAAUUGCUUUUGAGAUAAUGCAGUUAUACCACAAAUACCCACAGAUGACCAAGCUGCCUUGUGUAGGCUACCCUGCACUAACUGGCCUUGGGCCCAGUUUUAGUUAUCCCCCCCAUUGCAAAGCAAGUUGCAGACAGAAUGAUCUAUUUCACUGUUAGAAAGGGCUAAGAGCAUUCAUCCCAUUAGGUAUAACCAACCAGCUGUCACCUAUGAACUAUUAAAUUAUAGUAGCUUGGCAGCUUGAGAUUCUGGAACCCAAGUCAAAAUAAUUUUUUUCUACCCACUGUUUAAAAAAACAUCCAGGAAACUAGACUUCAGGUAUAGCACUGGGCACCCAAGCCCUUGAAGCUAUAAGCUCUCCAUGGAGAGACUGUACCUCUGUUGGUGAACAGUAAAACCCUGAUCUCUGAGUGAGGUUUGUGGGUACCAUCAUCAUGCUUUCAAAAUGCAGUGUGCCUUGGACAGAGUACCCUGAAGAGUUAUCACACUUCUUAACUUCAAUUUAAAAAGAAGAAAAAAAGUUAAUAAAUCUAGAUCUCCAGUGCA